rnacentral:rRNA from 1 species
GACGAACGCUGGCGGCGUGCUUAACACAUGCAAGUCGAACGGAAAGGCCCUGCUUUUGUGGGGUGCGCGAGUGGCGAACGGGUGAGUAACACGUGAGUAACCUGCCCUUGACUUUGGGAUAACUUCAGGAAACCGGGGCCAAUACCGGAUAGGAGCUCCUGCUGCAGGGGGGGGGCUGGAAAGUGUCGGCGGUUGGGGAUGGACACGCGGCUUACAAGCUUGUUGGUGGGGUAGUGGCUUACCACGGCGUUGACGGGUAGCCGGCCUUGGAAGGUGACGGGCCACAAUGGGGCUGCGGAGCGGCCCAGACUCCUACGGGAGGCAGCAGUGGGGAAUAUUGCACAAUGGGCGGAGGCCUGAUGCAGCAGCGCCGCGGGCGGGAUGACGGCCGUCGGGUUGUAGUGCGCUUUCGCCUGUGACGAAGCGUGAGUGACGGUAAUGGGUAAAUAAGCACCGGCUAACUACGUG